AAUCAACGCUGGCGGCGUGCCUCAGACAUGCAAGUCGAACGAUUAAAGCUCUCUUCGGAGAGUGCAUAGAGUGGCGCACGGGUGAGUAACACGUAAGUAAUCUACCCUCGAGUGGGGAAUAACGUCCGGAAACGGACGCUAAUACCGCAUAAUGCAGCGGCACCGCAAGGUGACAGUUGUUAAAGAUUUAUCGCUUGAGGAGGAGCUUGCGGCAGAUUAGCUAGUUGGUAAGGUAAUGGCUUACCAAGGCUACGAUCUGUAACCGGUCUUAGAGGACGGUCGGUCACACUGACACUGAAUAACGGGUCAGACUCCUACGGGAGGCAGCAGUCGGGAAUUUUGGGCAAUGGGCGAAAGCCUGACCCAGCAACGCCGCGUGAAGGAUGAAGUAUUUCGGUAUGUAAACUUCGAAAGAAUAGGAAGAAUAAAUGACGGUACUAUUUAUAAGGUCCGGCUAACUACGUGCCAGCAGCCGCGGUAAGGCACGACUGU
rnacentral:rRNA from 1 species